GCUGUCCCUAGAAGCAUUGCAGGUGUGGCUGCUGUGUCACAUGGGCCUCAGUAGGUGGCAGAGAGGAGAGAGGCUUUGCCUGUGCUCCAACGUGUGUUCUAACCUGUGAACAUUGAAUGAUUAGUAGUCUAACAUU